rnacentral:rRNA from 1 species
UACGUAGGGGGCAAGCGUUGUCCGGAUUUAUUGGGCGUAAAGAGCGUGUAGGCGGUCAGGUAGGUCCGCUGUGAAAACUCGAGGCUCAACCUCGAGAUGUCGGCGGAAACCAUCUGGCUAGAGUCCGGAAGAGGAGAGUGGAAUUCCUGGUGUAGCGGUGAAAUGCGCAGAUAUCAGGAAGAACACCCGUGGCGAAGGCGGCUCUCUGGGACGGUACUGAUGCUGAGACGCGAAAGCGUGGGGAGCGAACAGG